ACGGAGUAGUGAAAGUACCGCGUACUGACGGAAUAGUACGUUGAAGAGUGUAGGUAUUAGACUUAUAGGAAAAUCCGUAAGACUAGCUGAACUUGAUAGUACCAAGAGCCUUCGGGCAAUUGGAUAAUGACCCUAAUCAGACUUCCAAGAAAAACCUCUAAGCUUCAGAUAUAUGCUACUCGUACCGCAAACCGACACAGGUAGACGGGUUGAGAAUACUAAGGCGCGCGAGUGAGUCGCGGUUAAGGAACUCGGCAAAAUAGCCCCGUAACUUCGGGAGAAGGGGUGUCAUGUCGAUGACAUGAUCGCAGUGAACAGACCCAGGCGACUGUUUAACAAAAACACAGCACAAUGCUAACUCGUAAAGAGGAUGUAUAUUGUGUGACACCUGCCCGGUGCUGGAAGGUUAAAAGG
rnacentral:rRNA from 1 species